UCCCUGGGCAAUCUUUGCUCCGUGAUGUACACCAAGAUCUCAGAGAUAGAUCUGAUUUCCUUUUGCCACUGAACAUGAAGGAUAAGACAAGGCAAAGGUUUAUUCAGCUACAGUAGCAUUCAAUGCAAACACAGCUUGAAGUGUAAUGGCAGAGUAGUAGGUGGGUAGAUGUGCACUAAUAUUGACCUUCUUUCUUUACCACAGGAUUAUUCUGGGACUGUGUGGACCAGAUACGCACUUCAUGCAGCCCAGGUCCGCAUCUACCCUCAUCUGAAGUCACCUUUCCAGGGACCAGCCCAUUACCUGUCCAGACGAGGUUUCAUCAGUGCUUGCUACCAGACUUGCUGCUUCCUGUAUUGCUUCCUGCAGAUGCCUGGGCUGGAGAUUAAUGGGAUUUCUCACCUGGAGUGCAAGAAAUACUUAGGAUUUUGUUGCCACCUCAAAUGUGGUAAUGAAUUGCAAUACAUUCAUACCCAUCUUCCAUUCUGCUGUUGUUCCUACGCUGAAAUGUGUCAGCACUAUUUUGGGGGCAAUACCUAGAUUACCUUUGCUCUUGACCCCAUCCUUCCUGCAUAGCAGGCCAUUUUUAUUCUUGUUCUCCUUUUAUUUAUAUUGUUAAAAAAAGUCUUUUACCCCUUAAUAUCCUUUGGCAAAUUCUAACUCAGCUUGACUUUUGAGCAGUUUUUCACGUACUUGCAGUAUGCUUUUUUCAACCCGUUAGAUUGCAAUUCUUCCUUUCGUUUCCCCGCUGGUUCGGUUACAGAUUCCAGGCUGAUUUUUCACCUUUGAAUUAAAGCAGUUAGCCCUGUAUUGCAUUUACAUUCCUGAGUUUGUCACUUUAAUUUGAUCAUAUUAACUGGUUUCCUCCAUUCUCAGAUUGAGUUUGCCUUUGAUUUUGAUCUGUUCUUCUCUUCCCAUUUAAUUGACACUGGUGUUUUGACUGGUCUGAUUUUCUACUACCAUCUUUUUAAUAGCAAUCAAAAGCCGCUGCAAAGUAUUAUUGUCUUCCAUUAUUACAUAUGACACUUGCUGAAGAUUUUCUCUAAACAUCCAUGCAAUUUCUGACCAUGCUUUUUUUUUUCUCUCAAAAUAAUUAGUUUUAAUAUAUAUAAUAUAUACAUGUAAAAUAAAUAAUAAACAAUGAUGAUUUUACA
rnacentral:lncRNA from 1 species